rnacentral:rRNA from 1 species
UACGUAGGUGGCAAGCGUUGUCCGGAUUUAUUGGGUUUAAAGGGUGCGUAGGCGGCCUUGUAAGUCAGUGGUGAAAUACUCCAGCUUAACUGGAGGGGUGCCAAUGAUACUGCAGGGCUUGAGUACAGAUGAGGUAGGCGGAAUUAACGGUGUAGCGGUGAAAUGCAUAGAUAUCGUCAAGAACACCGAUAGCGAAGGCAGCUUACUGGGCUGUAACUGACGCUGAGGCACGAAAGUGUGGGGAUCAAACAGG